rnacentral:rRNA from 1 species
CACUCCUGCGGGAGGCAGCAGUGGGGAAUUUUGGACAAUGGGCGAAAGCCUGAUCCAGCAAUGCCGCGUGUGUGAAGAAGGCCUUCGGGUUGUAAAGCACUUUUGUCCGGAAAGAAAUCCUUGGCUCUAAUACAGUCGGGGGAUGACGGUACCGGAAGAAUAAGCACCGGCUAACUACGUGCCAGCAGCCGCGGUAAUACGUAGGGUGCGAGCGUUAAUCGGAAUUACUGGGCGUAAAGCGUGCGCAGGCGGUUUGCUAAGACCGAUGUGAAAUCCCCGGGCUCAACCUGGGAACUGCAUUGGUGACUGGCAGGCUAGAGUAUGGCAGAGGGGGGUAGAAUUCCACGUGUAGCAGUGAAAUGCGUAGAGAUGUGGAGGAAUACCGAUGGCGAAGGCAGCCCCCUGGGCCAAUACUGACGCUCAUGCACGAAAGCGUGGGGAGCAAACAGGAUUAGAUACCCGGGUAGUCCCAUGA